CUAAAAUAACAUCCAGACAAGUCAAGCUGAUGACAAGCUAAAUGGAGGCAUUCCCAGCACUUCCAGCAGCAGAGACGUCGGUGGUGAACGGUGCUUCAUUUUUCUCCCCAGGACUAACUUCUCCAUGCAGUGUGGGACAGGACUAAUGACAGUCAUGUUAAUGAUGUUGACACUCCCACCAGCGCCAGCCAGCGUACAGUAAUGAGGGGAAGUAAAUAGCAGGUAGCUGACAACGUGGCUGCUUCCGCUGCCACGCAACUAAUGAUCCCUUUCACACCCUCUGAACACACUUUGUAAAGAUGACAGCACACAGUUUAGGAGGGUAAAGCCUGCCUUUCUUAUACCUUUACUCGACCUGUCAGAGGAGAAUACAUCUGUUGAAACAUGA